rnacentral:misc_RNA from 1 species
UCGCGGCUUAUCACCGGCAGUCCCCCUAGAGUGCCCAACUGAAUGAUGGCAACUAAGGGCGAGGGUUGCGCUCGUUGCGGGACUUAACCCAACAUCUCACGACACGAGCUGACGACAGCCAUGCACCACCUGUGCACAGGCCCCGAAGGGCUGCCGUGUUUCCACGACAUUCCUGUGCAUGUCAAGCCCUGGUAAGGUUCUUCGCGUUGCGUCGAAUUAAUCCGCAUGCUCCGCCGCUUGUGCGGGCCCCCGUCAAUUUCUUUGAGUUUUAAUCUUGCGACCGUACUCCCCAGGCGGCGCGUUUAACGCGUUAGCUCCGGCACAGAAGGGGUCGAAUCCUCCCACACCAAACGCGCACCGUUUACUGCCAGGACUAC